rnacentral:rRNA from 1 species
GUGGGGAAUCUUGGACAAUGGGGGAAACCCUGAUCCAGCCAUGCCGCGUGAGUGAUGAAGGCCUUAGGGUUGUAAAGCUCUUUCGCCAGGGAAGAUAAUGACGGUACCUGGAUAAGAAGCCCCGGCAAACUUCGUGCCAGCAGCCGCGGUAAUACGAAGGGGGCUAGCGUUGUUCGGAAUUACUGGGCGUAAAGCGCACGUAGGCGGCUUUCCAAGUUGGAGGUGAAAUCCCUGGGCUUAACCCAGGAACUGCCCCCAAGACUGGAAGGCUCGAGUCCGAGAGAGGUGAGUGGAAUUUCCAGUGUAGAGGUGAAAUUCGUAGAUAUUGGAAAGAACACCAGUGGCGAAGGCGGCUCACUGGCUCGGUACUGACGCUGAGGUGCGACAGCGUGGGGAGCAAACAGGAUUAGAAACCCUUGUAGUCC